CAGUAGCCGCGGUAAAACGAAGGGGGCUAGCGUUGUUCGGAAUCACUGGGCGUAAAGGGUGCGUAGGCGGAUUCUUAAGUCAGGGGUGAUAUCCCGAGGCUCAAUCUCGGAACUGCCUUUGAUACUGGGGAUCUUGAGUCCGGAAGAGGUGAGUGGAACUGCGAGUGUAGAGGUGAAAUUCGUAGAUAUUCGCAAGAACACCGGUGGCGAAGGCGGCUCACUGGUCCGGAACUGACGCUGAGGCACGACAGCGUGGGGAGCAAACAGGAUUAGAUACCCCCGUAGUCCCUGUCUCUUAUAC
rnacentral:rRNA from 1 species